AUGGCGGAAGUAUGGGACUUACCGGUGCACUCAAAGAUUAAAAAUGUUGGCCAGGAUUGGUUUUUACACUUGGUUUCUGAGAUACAGGAAGAUAAGUUGGUUCGGGUGAUGAUGCUUUUUUGGAGAAUUUGGUUCUUACGCAAUGAGAUGGUGCAUUCAAAGAAGCCACCCCCUGUUGAGAUCUCAGUACGUUUUUUGAGCAGCUAUUUAUCCUCGCUUUUGGUGCUGCAAUCUGAACCAAUCGGUGAACCAAUCAAAGGGAAAGCUCCUGUCGAAUCUGUCCUUGUUUUAAGACAAAAUCCACAUGAGCAGAGAUAUAUGCAUGGGAGUAAAUGGACUAAACCUACUGUUGAUAGAGUAAAGCUUAACACAGAUGCUUCUGUCCUAAGUGAUGUGGCAGGUGCAGGAAUGGUGCUUAGAGACCAUGAGGGGACUGUCAUAUUUAGUUCCUGUCGAUGCAUUCACUCUUGCGAUGACAUAUUGGAAGCUGAACUUCUGGCUCUGAAGGAAGGAAUUUUGCUUGCAUUGCAAUGGAGUAACUUGCCCAUAGAUGUGGAAUCGGAUUGUUUGGAGGCUGUCAAGAUGAUUACAGGAGGAGGAGAAAACAAGUCUAAAUAUGUAUUCAUUGUCAGAGAUAUCAUUACUGCUUUAGGAGAGAGGGAUUCUUGCAUUACUCAUACCCGUCGAACCUGUAAUAAUGUUAGUCAUGCCUUGGCAAAUUUUGGUAGGAUCCGUCGCCGAACCAUGGUUUGGCUAGGAUCUGCACCAGAUGAGGUCAUGGAACUAAUAGAACGAGAAUGUAACUUUUGUUUUGAGUAA
rnacentral:rRNA from 1 species